rnacentral:lncRNA from 1 species
UUUUAAUUAAAUUCGAACACCGUAGCAUGCCUGAUAAAUAAAGCUGCGAAGAAUAUAAUUAUUGGUAUAGAAAAAUUUACAUGCUCAAUGCACAAAGCACUGGUAUCAAUGGAGUCACUCAUGAAAUUGAUUAUUCGACUAAAGUGAAAGUGAAUGUUUUUCGUUGUCAAGCAAUAAAUUAAAGGAUGUCACCAUUGCAUUAAAAUUUACAAAAUUUCAAAGAAGAACAUCGAUAGUAAGGCUUUUGUUCAGAUACACAUUCAUGACAUCAUAAUAAAUAUUUAAUGUUGUUAAAACAACUAUUGGUUAUGGAUGCGUUUCAGCG